rnacentral:rRNA from 1 species
CACGUAGGGCGCAAGCGUUGUCCGGAAUCACUGGGCGUAAAGGGCACGUAGGCGGCGCGGUAAGCGUGCGGUGAAAGUCCGGGGCUCAACCCCGGAUCGGCCGUGCGGACUGCCGGGCUUGAGCACUGUAGGGCGGGUGGAACUCCGGGUGUAGCGGUGAAAUGCGCAGAUAUCAGGAGGAAUACCAGCGGCGAAGGCGGCGCUCUGGGCCGGUACUGACGCUGAGGAGCGAAAGCGUGGGGAGCAAACAGG